rnacentral:lncRNA from 1 species
GGGAGGGGGGCGGGGCGUGGCGGGGGAGAAGAAGAGGCGGAAGCCUGUACUUAAGGUUUUAAAAUUUUAAUUUGUCAGUUUUUCAUCACUGGGGAUGGAACCAUAAGCUCGGUUGCUUUAAGAACCUUAGGAAAGCACUCUGCCACAGAGCUAUGGCCCCAGCCUAGUAGUCUCUUCCUUAUACACAGGUAGGUGUGGUCUUGCUCUGUUGCAUAGGACCAUAUAGAUCUCCAUCCCCAAAGUUACAGCUGAUGAGCGCUCGAGUGAGCCCUUGAGCGGGCAGGACAGCUGGUACGCAGGUCAGUUUACAGCCUACCAGGGAGCCUGGUGCAAAAGUUCUGUGUGAAAAGCCAACUGUGAUGAGAUCCACCGACCAGAUGUUUUGCCUCAAGAGUCCGAACCCGUCACAUGAGAGAAUUAGUCAGCGGAAUAGAUGCCAAAAGACACACAGAGAGCGUGAGGCAGAAAGUGAACCACCGUCAUUACUGGGAUCAAGUUAACCUCACGGAUUAAGACAGGCCUCCCUCCCUGUCUGUUUGUUCUGGUCAAUCCCCACCAGGGAAGGGAGUUUUCAUGUCCCUCACAUCCAUAUUUUAGCAUGAAACAAAAUUUCAAAUGCCAACACAUUCUGGUUCCAACUUGGAGCUUUGGACAUAACGUCUUGUGCCACUGCCUGCCUACCUUUAAAAAAAUAUUGCUUAUCACAUCACACUAGUGCUAGGCACAGGGCCUGGUACAUGCCUGGAGACCAGUGAAUAACGCAGAAGUGCCCUCUGCCUAUGUCGGGUUGAAUGCCUGUGGUGUUGGUGGAAACCUCCGAGUCCUAACGCCAAAACCACCUGCUUAGAAACUGGGUAAGCCAUUCAGUCUUCAAGGCCUCCAUUCCCCCCACCCCCACGCCACCCCCUGUAAAUGAGGGUGUGAUAGUUAUUCCUCUGUUUGAGCUGUUGUGAGGUUUAAAAUAGCAGAUGUGUCAAAGCCCCUACAUAAGAAGCCCCCUGAGAUCUGAAGUACAUGGAGUGGGAGGAAGCUGUGCAUUCUGUGAACGCUCCACGUUUUAUGUGAGAGUUUCACACGUUAGUCUCUUCCAACUAGAAACCAAAUGCACUUCAGAAUACAAGGUUCUCUCUUUCUCUCUGACAGAAAGACCAGAUAUUUUAGGGGCUGGGGAAGUGACUCAGUGGGUGACAAGCACCUGUUGUAUAGCCAUGAGGACCUGAGUUCAGAUCCCCAAGGCCACUCACAUUUAAAAAAUAAAAUCAGAUGUGGCCACACUCGACAGUAACUCUAGUGCUGGGGUGGACGGAGGCAGGAGGAUUGCUGAAGAUUGUUAUCGCCAGAUUAAAAAAUAAAAAUAAAAAAAAAAAUAAAAAAUUACAUGCUCUAGACUCAGAGAGAGCGAGGAACUAUUUCAAGGGAGUAAGAGGGAAAGAAGGAGAUGGAUGUAGAGAGCCCCAGGUGUUUUCCUCUUCUGACUUCUACACACACAUAUGCGUGCAUGCACACAUACGUACAUACAGACAUGCAUGCAUAUACCACAGUCUCUUGAGUGAGAACACACACACACACACACAAACACAUACAAACACACAUGGCAGGCAUUUAUUUUGGCCAUCUGGAGAGAAGUAAGCAGACUUUUUUGUUUGUUCAUCUUUCUGCUUACA